rnacentral:rRNA from 1 species
CCUACGGGAGGCAGCAGUGGGGGAUAUUGCACAAUGGGGGGAACCCUGAUGCAGCGACGCCGCGUGGGUGAAGACGCGCCUCGGCGCGUAAAGCCCUGUCAGCAGGGAAGAAAAUGACGGUACCUGAAGAAGAAGCCCCGGCUAAAUACGUGCCAGCAGCCGCGGUAAUACGUAGGGGGCAAGCGUUAUCCGGAUUUACUGGGUGUGAAGGGGGCGCAGACGGCGAUGCAAGCCAGGAGUGAAAGCCCGGGGCCCAACCCCGGGACUGCGCUUGGAACUGCGUGGCUGGAGUGCAGGAGGGGCAGGCGGAAUUCCUGGUGUAGCGGUGAAAGGCGUAGAUAUCAGGAGGAACACCGGUGGCGAAGGCGGCCUGCUGGACUGCAACUGACGUUGAGGCCCGAAAGCGUGGGGAGCAAACAGGAGUAGAUACCCCUGUAGUC